CCUUGGUCCUGCCCAGUAUACGUCAAGCGGUUACGACCAGGCUUUUCGCGUGGAACAACAUCUUAAGAAACUCAAUUAUGAACGACGAUCAUUCUUAAACACAAAAAUAAAUGUAAAAAUGCCGUAAUUCGGGACUUUUGACCAUUGUGGAAUGACCAUUCGAUUCCGCGCAUUGAGAAGUUCAAUCUUCUCAUUGCAUGUCUCUCUGGUGAGCGUCUUGGAACGGUGAGAGCGUUUCAACUCACCUAGGAUAACUAUGAGAAAGCAAUGGCAAUUCUGAAGAGAGUAUAUGUCUAAAAAGACCCUCCGCUUCAGCGUUGAGAAGCUUGAUUGGCACUGUCUCUGCGAUAUACGGAUCAUUGUUGUCGGUAGGUGAUGAUAAGAAGAUUGCAAAUGUUAUCUUUAUUUUUUGGUCAUGAACAAAGUCA